rnacentral:lncRNA from 1 species
GCAACAUCAUGACAUCAAAGACAGACGCCACAUAAACAGCUGGCUUGCAUGAUUUCAAAGGAGGCUCUUGACUUGGAGUUCACACCCAGCUGGCUGGAACGCGACUGCACCGGACGCAGCUUCUGACACAGAGAUGCCCCCUUAGUUAUCGACACAAAAUGUUUCUCCAGAGCCAGUCAGAACUGAGAGUGUCAGUAUUCCUAUCGAGUCAGAAACACUGCACCUUCCAGGACCUUGAGUCACAAGCUGAUAACUGAACCACAUGAGAGCAAAUUUCUUUAAAUGUUGACCACACACGGGAGCAAGAGGAGCUUAUAUUUUUUCAAAAAAAGAACCUAUAUCAACAAAUGGGACAAAUGUUUUGUCAGAGUAUGCUGACUUCCUGACAUCGGUAUUUACAGUAUCUGUGAGACCAGUGCGUCUGCCAUUUUUAAAAUCACUGUUGACCAUCUUUGGUCCACCAAAUUAAGCCAAUAAAACCCAGUAGGCCUCUUAAAUUGGAAUGGUAAUCUCUGAUUAAAACAGAUGAUGGAAGUCGUA